AUUGAACGCUGGCGGCAGGCCUAACACAUGCAAGUCGAGCGGAUGAAGGGAGCUUUCUCCUGGAUUCAGCGGCGGACGGGUGAGUAAUGCCUAGGAAUCUGCCUUGUAUUUGGGGAUAACGUCCGGAAACGGGCGCUAAUACCGCAUACGUCCUGAGUGUGAAAGUGGGGGAUCUUCGGACCUCACGCUAUCAGAUGAGCCUAGGUCGGAUUAGCUAGUUGGUGGGGUAAAGGCUUACCAAGGCGACGAUCCGUAACUGGUCUGAGAGGAUGAUCAGUCACACUGGAACUGAGACACGGUCCAGACUCCUACGGGAGGCAGCAGUGGGGAAUAUUGGACAAUGGGCGAAAGCCUGAUCCAGCAAUGCCGCGUGUGUGAAGAAGGUCUUCGGAUUGUAAAGCACUUUAAGUUGGGAGGAAGGGCAGUAAGUUAAUACCUUGCUGUCUUGACGUUACCAAAAGAAUAAGCACCGGCUAACUUCGUG
rnacentral:rRNA from 1 species